rnacentral:rRNA from 1 species
CAGAGCGGGGGCGAGGCUGACAGCGAGUAGCGUGAGGAUGACUGCCCUAUGGGUUGUAAACUUCUUUUAUAAAGGAAUAAAGUCGGGUAUGCAUACCCGUUUGCAUGUACUUUAUGAAUAAGGAUCGGCUAACUCCGUGCCAGCAGCCGCGGUAAUACGGAGGAUCCGAGCGUUAUCCGGAUUUAUUGGGUUUAAAGGGAGCGUAGAUGGAUGUUUAAGUCAGUUGUGAAAGUUUGCGGCUCAACCGUAAAAUUGCAGUUGAUACUGGAUGUCUUGAGUGCAGUUGAGGCAGGCGGAAUUCGUGGUGUAGCGGUGAAAUGCUUAGAUAUCACGAAGAACUCCGAUUGCGAAGGCAGCCUGCUAAGCUGCAACUGACAUUGAGGCUCGAAAGUGUGGGUAUCAAACAGGAUUAGAUACCCUGGUAGUCCACACGGUAAACGAUGAAUACUCGCUGUUUGCGAUAUACGGCAAGCGGCCAAGCGAAAGCGUUAAGUAUUCCACCUGGGGAGUACGCCGGCAA